UGUGGCCAAGAGUGGCCUUAGUAAAGAGAGAGACAGUAGUGAGAACUUGAAGGUUGCAGGAACAAGAAGAAGAAAAUCAUGCCUUCAUCCCAGGCUUUAAUGAGGAUUGCCAGGAUCAAUGACUAGAUACUUGAGGAUUUGCACAAGUUUGCCAAGAGAUUGUACAAGGCACACUGCUGCAUGAUGAAAUGAAAGUCACAAGACUUCCUUCAGCUUGAGUCUCCAAAGUCCAAGAGAGGA
rnacentral:lncRNA from 1 species